CAUGCGCCACAAGUGGUAUCCAUGUUUAUUGGGCCUAAAGCAUCCGUAGCCGGCGCUGUAAGUUUUCGGUUAAAUCUGUACGCUCAACGUACAGGCUGCCGGGAAUACUGCAGCGCUAGGGAGUGGGAGAGGUAGACGGUACUCGGUAGGAAGGGGUAAAAUCCUUUGAUCUAUUGAUGACCACCUGUGGCGAAGGCGGUCUACCAGAACACGUCCGACGGUGAGGGAUGAAAGCUGGGGGAGCAAACCGGAUUAGAUACCCGAGUAGUCC
rnacentral:rRNA from 1 species